GAUGAAGAACGUAGCGAAAUGCGAUAAGUAGUGUGAAUUGCAGAAUUCAGUGAAUCAUCGAAUCUUUGAACGCACAUUGCGCCCCUCGGUAUUCCGUGGGGCAUGCCUGUUCGAGCGUCAUUUAACCCCUCAAGCCUAGCUUGGUAUUGGGUGCUUGUCCCGCCUCCCGCGCGGCGACUCACCUCAAAGUCAUUGGCAGCCCGCAUCUCGCCGGCCGUGAGCGCAGCACAGACGCGCUCUUGGCAACGACGGAUCGGCUCUCCAAAAGCUUAUUUCAACCACUGACCUCGGAUCAGGUAGGGAUACCCGCUGAACUUAAGCAUAUCAAUAAGCGGAGGA
rnacentral:misc_RNA from 1 species